rnacentral:rRNA from 1 species
GUCCACGCCGUAAACUAUGGAUGCUAGCUGUUGGUCGUAUCGACCCGAUCAGUAGCGAAGCUAACGCGUUAAGCAUCCCGCCUGUGGAGUACGAGCGCAAGCUUAAAACAUAAAGGAAUUGACGGGGACCCCGCACAAGCGGUGGAGCGUGUUGUUUAAUUCGAUGAUAAGCGAAGAACCUUACCCAGACUUGACAUCCUUGGAAGGACUACGAAAGUAGACUGUGCCCUUGGGAGCCAAGUGACAGGUGUUGCAUGGCCGUCGU